AGCCUUCUGAAUCUAUGUUGAAAUUUCGUCAAACACCAGACCAUCAUCACUGACGAGACUCCCAAGAUAAGUGGAGGA
rnacentral:pre_miRNA from 1 species